CGGAGAGGGGCACCGUGGGAGGCACAGCACCUUCCCAUGAUCUUUUUAAAUUUACCAGUGACAGAAUGAUUGCAAAUGUAUAUAAAACAGCUGCUUUCAGAUGCAGGCUUACAGUGACCUGGGCCAUCUGAGCCACAAAUAUCUGUCACUUCUGUCACAGAGAUCCAAAGUGCUGCUCCUGUAUGGAAGGAUACUCUCAAGGCAAUCACUGAUGCUGUCUGUUCCAGGCUUUUUCCCACUCCUUAUGCAUUUUAAUAAGCAAACCA